UAUUCGCAAACAGAAAAGGAGAGAAGGGGAGUGCUUGUGGCACCUUGGAGACUGGCCAGUUUGUUUGAGCGUGGGCUUUCGUGGGCUACGGCUCUCUUCAUCGGAUGCAUCCGGUGAGGUGAGCUGUAGCUCACGGGAGCUUGUGCUCGAGUGGAUUGGUUGGUCUCUGGGGUGCCACAAGUGCUCCUUUUCUUUUUGCGAAUACAGACUAACACGGCUGUUAUUCUGAAAUAUAUAAACAAAAACAUUUAGUUCAUAU